rnacentral:rRNA from 1 species
UACGGAGGGGGCUAGCGUUGUUCGGAAUUACUGGGCGUAAAGAGCACGUAGGCGGCUUUGCAAGUUAGAGGUGAAAGCCCGGGGCUCAACUCCGGAAUUGCCUUUAAAACUGCAUCGCUAGAAUUGUGGAGAGGUAAGUGGAAUUCCGAGUGUAGAGGUGAAAUUCGUAGAUAUUCGGAAGAACACCAGUGGCGAAGGCGACUUACUGGACACAUAUUGACGCUGAGGUGCGAAAGCGUGGGGAGCAAACAGG